rnacentral:piRNA from 1 species
UGGGAGCUUCAUGGACGAUACAAUGCAGAU